ensembl:lncRNA
CCAGGUUUCUCUAGUUCUAGGAGUAUUAGUGAGGCAGUUCUCUGGCUUUGUGUGUCUCUACAGAUGGACCUGUUGGACCGACCCACCAACCCACACACCAGAGUCCAGGUUUCUCUAGUUCUAGGAGUAUUAGUGAGGCAGUUCUCUGGCUUUGUGUGUCUCUACAGAUGGACCUGUUGGAAAGAUACACUGUAAAUGUGACCAGUGACAGUUUGUUGCAGAGUUCACGUGUGUGAUUUAGUCCAGGGUAGUUUAGGUGUGUCUCUGAACCCACUGACUCAAAUCUACAGUGUCGUCGUCAGUUAGCGCCUCUGUAAAGCACUUUAGAAACGUAUUGCUAAGCCGAGUUAGUGGUGCUUAGAUUCGUCCUUGACAAUCUCCUUCCUUUUGUACCCGUUUCGCCGUCUGUUUUUCUGGAUGUGGAAUGUUUUUCUGGCGGUGCUGUAGCAGUCAUUGUUUUUAUUGACAGUUUGCCUCCUGUGAUAUCAUCCAUAUAAACCCAAGAUGGAAUGUAACUAUGUUUGUAAACAUAGAAAUAUAUAUAUUUUUUUUAAUAUUCAAAACCUCAUUCUUCAAUGGCUCAGAUGUUGACGAGAACAUGGUACAUCUUCUCUCUCAGUCAGCAGUGUGUGGGCGGGGUCUCUCUCCUCAGGGUUAAGGUGUGACUGCAUCCCUCCCUGAGAGAGGGAGAGAGAGAGGGAAUCAAAAAAAUUAUUUGUUAGUGCCAGAAAAUCUGUCAUCCUCUCUGUGAUUCUGUGACGGUUCCACAAGGUCCCAGCCCAUCUCUCAGUAGAGGGUUAACAUGGUAGAACGAACGGAGGGAGGGAGGGAGGGGGUGUCCUUGGCUCUCGACCCUUUCCCACAUAACACACAAAAAAAAGGCCCAUAGCACUCUGGUUAAAAGUAGUGCACUAUAUGGGGAAAUAGGGUGCAAUAUUAGGAUGUACCCGGGUGUUUGUGGGAAUGAAAUAAAGACAAAAUAUGAAUAUACCAAAUAAAUGUCAAAUGUUUUGAGGAA